rnacentral:misc_RNA from 1 species
UAAGUUAUGUAAAAGAAGAAAGGGGGUACUUUUGUUUUUUGUGAUGGGAUCAACAUUGUGAGCUAGUGCCUCAACCAAAGGAUCAGUACAAAGUAUUUAUGUAAACAUCUGGGCACAGACAUGUUUAAUGUGGUUGAUGGAUGGCUCGUGGUACAAGGUGGUAGUAAUAGAAGAUCAACCCAACCAUCCUGUAGAGUUUUAACUUGUACCUUAAACUUUAUAGGUCUUUUUUGGAGGGGGAUUUCUAGCUUAUUGACCACAUGUAGUUGAUGUUUAAGGGUAAUUUACAGGAUUAAAAACUUUCACAAACAGAUUGAACAUUUAUUAGAAAAAACCCAGAUUCAUUUAAAUGUACUAUAAAAUGCAACAUGUACCUGGCAUCAGACUUUUGAAUUUUAACCAGAUUUUAACACAGUAUCAUUAUGUACAUGUGUUAAUUCUUACAUGAUCAUCACAUUUGAUGUGAAAUGUACUGUUUGUUUUAUUUCCAAGUUCAUGAAAAAGUAAAGAAUGAAAAUUG